GGUACACAGCAAUACAGCAGACACAGUUGGUAUGCAGGGAGCUACCAGUGGGAUGGAGAACAUGAAGACAAGACUCCAAGAGAUUCCUGGCAGAGAAGAUGCACAGAGAUUGUGGCCAUCGAUGCACUAAUGUUUAGGAACUUCCUGCAACAGUUUCACCCUGAGAAAAUCAACCGGGAACUCAACAAGGCUUACUGUGGUUUUUCCUUUUCCAGAGGAAAAGACACAGCACCUCUCGUCAGUGGCAACGGAACUGGGGGUGCGGUGUGUUUGGAGGAGACACCAGGCUGAAAGGGGAGGCGUACGGUCUACUGGAGCAAUACUACAAUUCAGUGUGUAAGAGUUGCCUCAUCAACCGGCCAGACGUCAGCCUCUAUUCCUUCAUCUACCAGCAGAUCAGCACCAACUCUACCCCCCACUCUGCAUAGCGCCAGCCCCAACGGCGCCUUAGCCAGACACACUGUCUCCACAGAACGCAGCUAAGGUAA